AGAGUGGUCCUUGAAAUAGCCUCUUUGUAUGGGCUUCCUGCUUAAUUCUUCCUCUCUAACAUCGAGUGUAAAAUGAAUGGAAGAUCAUCAAGCCACAGAUAUGAGAUCUGAACAUUAUUAUUAUUAAGUCCUGGUCAUGCUUUUCCACAGCUUUCUUGAACUUCCACUGUUUGCUGAUUAAUACACGGCUCUUGCUAGCUAGGCGCCGUAUGUAGACACCGCGCGCCAUGGGAGCUCAAGAAAGCUGUGGGAGAACAUGGCACACCUUCAGGAUUUG
rnacentral:pre_miRNA from 1 species